GACGAACGCUGGCGGCGUGCUUAACACAUGCAAGUCGAACGAUGAAGCCGGAGCUUGCUCUGGUGAAUUAGUGGCGAACGGGUGAGUAACACGUGAGUAACCUGCCCUUGACUCUGGGAUAACUGCGGGAAACUGUAGCUAAUACCGGAUACGACCCUCGGAGGCAUCUCCUGGGGGUGGAAAGAAUUUCGGUCAAGGAUGGACUCGCGGCCUAUCAGCUAGUUGGUGAGGUAAAGGCUCACCAAGGCGACGACGGGGAGCCGGCCUGAGAGGGCGACCGGCCACACUGGGACUGAGACCCGGCCCAGACUCCUACGGGAGGCAGCAGUGGGGAAUAUUGCACAAUGGGCGCAAGCCUGAUGCAGCAACGCCGCGUGAGGGAUGACGGCCUUCGGGUUGUAAACCUCUUUUAGCAGGGAAGAAGCGAAAGUGACGGUACCUGCAGAAAAAGCACCGGCUAACUACGUGCCAGCCGCCGCCGUAA
rnacentral:rRNA from 1 species